GAUGAAGAACGUAGCGAAAUGCGAUAAGUAAUGUGAAUUGCAGAAUUCAGUGAAUCAUCGAAUCUUUGAACGCACAUUGCGCCCGCCAGUAUUCUGGCGGGCAUGCCUGUUCGAGCGUCAUUACAACCCUCAGGCCCCCGGGCCUGGCGUUGGGGAUCGGCGGAGCCCCCCGUGGGCACACGCCGUCCCCCAAAUACAGUGGCGGUCCCGCCGCAGCUUCCAUCGCGUAGUAGCUAACACCUCGCGACUGGAGAGCGGCGCGGCCACGCCGUAAAACACCCGACUCUUCUGAAGUUGACCUCGAAUCAGGUAGGAAUACCCGCUGAACUUAAGCAUAUCAAUAAGCGGAGGA
rnacentral:misc_RNA from 1 species